CCUACGGGAGGCAGCAGUGGGGAAUAUUGGGCAAUGGGCGCAAGCCUGACCCAGCAACGCCGCGUGAAGGAAGAAGGCUUUCGGGUUGUAAACUUCUUUUAUCAGGGACGAAGCAAGUGACGGUACCUGAUGAAUAAGCCACGUCUAACUACGUGCCAGCAGCCGCUGUAAUCAGUAGGUGGCAAGCGUUAUCCGGAUUUACUGGGGGUAAAGGGCGUGGAGGCGGGAGUGCAAGUCCGAGGUGAAAGCUAUGGGGUCAACCCAUAGCCGGUAUUGGAAACUGUACUGCUUGAGUGCUGGAGAGGCAAGCGGAAUUCCGUGUGUAGCGGUGAAA
rnacentral:rRNA from 1 species